CAGGACGAACGCUGGCGGCGUGCCUAACACAUGCAAGUCGAACGAAGACCAUAGAGGAGCUUGCUUUAAUAUGGUUUUAGUGGCGGGACGGGUGAGUAACGCGUGAGGACUUGUCGAGUACAGGGGGGACAACAGGUGGAAAACGUCUGCUAAUACCCCAUAAGCCUUCGGGUAAAAGGAGCGAUCCGGUACACGAGAGACUCGCGUUCUAUCAGCUAGUAGGUGGGGUAACGGCCCACCCAGGCCAAGACGGGAUAGCCGGACUGAGAGGUCGAUCGGCCACACUGGAACUGAGACACGGUCCAGACUCCUACGGGAGGCAGCAGUGGGGAAUAUUGGGCAAUGGGGGAAACCCUUACGACCCAGCGACGCCGCGUGAGUGAAGAAAUCCCUCGGGAUGUAAAACUCUGUUGUGUGGGAAGAUAAUGACGGUACCACACGAGGAAGCCCCGGCAAACUACGUGCCAGCCGCCGC
rnacentral:rRNA from 1 species